rnacentral:lncRNA from 1 species
AAAAAUUAAGCUCAAUUGGGUGUGGGGGGGGGAGAGAUAGAGAGAGAGAGAAGGAGGGAGAGAGAGAGAGAGAGAGAGAGAGAGAGAGAGAGGAGAUUAUCUGAAGACAGAAGCUGAAGAACUGGUAAAAGACAGGUUGUGCAGUCGCCUGCGACUCAGUGCUGUUUCCUUGUAAGAGUCCUCACUUCGUAUUACUUGUAUCUACUCCACAACUGAAAUCCUUGCAUAUUCAGACAAAUGCCUGAAAGAGGCUAGAGUGCCUGCAUAUGGCUGCCUUCUCCUGGGAACUUGUGAAUGCCCAAUACGAGCUCUGCUGACUAACGUGAACAUGUUUGAAGAACGAAAGCUGGAGUUAUUAUUCCAGCAUGCUAGCAAAGGUUACAGCCGCAAUUCAUCCUAAUGGUUUUGCUCCAGCAAGCCAAAUCAAAUUCAAAGUGAUGUUUUCAUCAGAAAAUCUUUCUGGAUCUAAGGU